rnacentral:rRNA from 1 species
GUACGGGGGGGGGCUAGCGUUGUCCGGAAUCAUUGGGCGUAAAGAGCGUGUAGGCGGCCCGGUAAGUCCGCUGUGAAAGUCGGGGGCUCAACCCUCGAAUGCCGGUGGAUACUGUCGGGCUAGAGUGCGGAAGAGGCGAGUGGAAUUCCUGGUGUAGCGGUGAAAUGCGCAGAUAUCAGGAGGAACACCGAUUGCGAAGGCAGCUCGCUGGGACGUAACUGACGCUGGAGACGCGAAAGCGUGGGGAGCAAACAGG